rnacentral:rRNA from 1 species
AUUGAACGCUGGCGGCAGGCCUAACACAUGCAAGUCGAACGAGUGGCGGACGGGUGAGUAAUGUCUGGGAAACUGCCCGAUGGAGGGGGAUAACUACUGGAAACGGUAGCUAAUAUCGCAUACCAUCGGAUGUGCCCAGAUGGGAUUAGCUAGUAGGUGGGGUAACGGCUCACCUAGGCGACGAUCCCUAGCUGUUCUGCGAGGAUGACCAGAGACACUGGAACGGUGACAGGGAGAAGGCUCGUACGGAAGGCAGCGGUGGGAAAUAUGGAAGAAUGGGCGCAAUCCUGAAGCAUCCAAGCCGCGUGUGUGAAGGAGGCCUUCGAGAUGUAAAGUACAUUCAGCGAGGGUGCGUUGCUCUCAGAAGAAGCACCGGCUAACUCCGUGCCAGCAGCCGCGGUAAUUC